rnacentral:rRNA from 1 species
GAUGAACGCGGCGGCGUGCCUAACACAUGCAAGUCGAACGGGGUUUUAUGUCGGAAGUUUUCGGAUGGAAGAGAUAGGACCCAGUGGCGGACGGGUGAGUAACACGUGGGUAACCUGCCUCAUAGAGGGGGAUAACAGAGAGAAAUCACUGCUAAUACCGCAUAAGCACACGGGAUCGCAUGAUCCUGGGUGAAAAGAUUUAUCGCUAUGAGAUGGACUCGCGUCUGAUUAGCUGGUUGGCGGGGUAAAGGCUCACCAAGGCGACGAUCAGUAGCCGAUCUGAGAGGAUGGCCGGCCACAUUGGGACUGAGACACGGCCCAGACUCCUACGGGAGGCAGCAGUGGGGGAUAUUGCACAAUGGAGGGAACUCUGAUGCAGCAACGCCGCGUGAGUGAAGAAGUAUUUCGGUAUGUAAAGCUCUAUCAGCAGGGAAGAUA